rnacentral:tRNA from 1 species
GUGGUGGUGGUGUAGCUGGUAGCACCCAGGCCUGUGGAGCCUGCAGCCCGGGUUCAAAUCCCGGCCACCACU